UCACUGAAUGCACAUUCUUCUUACACUCUGUUUAAAAUGAUGAAAUGCGCUACAGCAGAUGUGCAACCCACACUCCAGGAAACGGUUUGAAUCCCAUCUAUCCACUGUGGUUUGACUUACAGGAGUUGGUGUGCUCCUCUGUCAGAUGGAUUCCACAAGCGGGAAUUUUCGCUGUGUUUGAAUAUUCAUACGAUUACAGGCAAUCUUAAUUUUGACAGCUGUCAAUUCAGACUACAUGAUGCCCACAGAGUAUUUAUUAUUAUCAUUAUUAUAAUUUGUCCUUUUAACUAAUUAAAAACACAUUUGUAAAAGUUCAAAAAUGCAAAUUGGCUUUUUGUUGUUUUGACAAUCUUUACAUUUUUUGGUAGCAUAUUAUUUUUUUCAUAAACAACAGGGUUGUUGUCGAGGCCCUGUUUGCAAUGGUCAUUUACCUUACAUGUUGACCCAUAAGCGUGCAGGGGAUUUACCAUAAAAAAAUGUUCUUGUUCCCUUUUAAUCUUGGCGAUGAUCUUGUUUUUUAGGAUUUUUGUGUAAGUUUGUGUAUUGCGUCAUAAAGGAUUGUUUAAUUGCAUGUAAAGAUUAAGUUAUUAUUCAUAAAAAGAGUACAUUGUAUUCAAAGUACAUCAUAAUCAGUUUAGUAUUUAGUGUCUGCUGCCUCUUAGCCAUUGUUUGCACUUUCAUAUUUUCCUAUCUGAUUCAUAUCGCCCUGUGGUUAACUGAGAUUGAUACUCUUGUCUUUUUUUUUUUUUUUAACAUUGUAAGUACACAGAUCACAUACUGAUUUUUAGAAAUCUUUUCAUUUAUAAUCAUGUGCAGUCUUUGUAUUUACAUGAUGCUUUGUAGAUAUGCAAAGCCAAGUAGGAUUCUGCCCCAGGCACUGGCCAUCCGACCUGUCACACAGCAUCGCAGGGCAGGAACAAGGAAACGGUCUCUGAAUUCGGGAAUGUGUAUGUAGCAGAGCCCUGUCCUAGCUUUGCCGACAGGCGCCGAGCACAAUAUCAGGUGCCGGGAGGGUCCCAAGGUGGGCGCACAUUUAUCAGGAGCAAGGCCCUGUGAACGUCAUCAAGGAGAUUCAUGAUCUCAACUGUUUUUUUCGGGGGGACAGGCAGGCAAAGGGGUUGUGGCAUCGUCAGUCCGGAUGAGAGGCAAAUUUAUUUGGGUAAAACCUAAGGCGUACGGCAACAACAUUUCCAGUGGAAUGGGGAAGGUGUCGCACUUAUCAAGUACCUGGGCCCGCCUGCCACGGGUCUGCUUGUUUUGCCUAGGGACUUGUCUGUCACAUUAAAGUAGAUGCAUUGCCAUUCAAGACCCUUCCCAGUCCUAGUGCCUGACCAUGAAAUAGGCCAACUUUCAAGUCUGCCUUAUUACUCUGCAUCAUAUGACUUCAGAGAUAGCAUAGUGUUGUCAUUCUUUUUUUCUUUUUUUUUCUGUCCUUCCUUUCUCUGUUUCUCAGUAUUUGGUGACUGAGACGCAAAUGCCACACAACGCUCAGUCCCUUAAAGCACAGACAAAUUUCAAGAAAACUUGCUUUAGGAAACAACUCACAAGCCAUGUGCUCGCUAGUCUUGUCGUGCACCGCGAUCAGGUGUGGGAAUCAUAUCUGAACUGAACAAGAAAACAUGUGAGUGAGGAAAGGGAAAAUGAGUUUAAAACCUCAAGGGACUACCUUGGAAAAGAGAGGAAACUGGUUUUGCUUGAGUAGCAUCUCCAUCCAGGAGAUUCCUUUGGUAUCGAAACUGAGCAUCUGGUCAUUAAGGUCAGACACACCUAUAUGUUCUGGCUUCAGUCACACUAAGCUGUCUCACCUAUAAUUCCCUCUGAAUUGAAACCCACCCAAGCUGCCAUGGGGGCAACAGUUCCUGCAUCUGGAGAGCUUUGGAGUCCAUCACCUGACCUUCAGCCAGAGCAUAUGCUACAGCAGAGUCCAUUCACUGCCACUUCUCUAGAGGCAGAGGGACAGUGUGCCUGGUCCAGCAUUCAAAUGUAUCACUGGUCCAGGCAAACCAUACUCUCCAGCUCAUGGGGACUGGGGGUAAACCCUUGCCCCCUCAGCAGCAUCAUGGACUGCUGCCGUUCCUACCAUUCAAGUGCCCAGGCCAGGCAGAGGAUGACAUGCAUUGGCUGCAAGGAACGGAUGUCAACCGAGUGAUGGCUGGAAAAUCAGUUUCAGCAUCUGGGCUGUCCCUCUGAGUGGGUGUGUGGUCCAUAACGCCGAUGUUGGCAAUGUUUGUGUGUGUGUUGAAUCAAGCUGUAGCCGAGCAGCCUGUCUGGUCAUGCAACAAAGACAAUGUCAUUCAGCCUUGGGGCUGAAGCGUUACCAAAGUGGUCAGAUGGACAACCGGCUUCCCUGUGGUUGCACCAGUGCUCCUGAAAAAGCUCACCACAUCUGACUGACAGUCACAGGGCCAGAUUCCUUUGGACAGGGCUGUAAAUAGCUGCACAAAACAGUAGGGCAUCUCCCCAAGACCUGUUCCAGUGUUCCAGCCAGACCGUCUGGCCAUAUCAUGCCAUAUGUGGCACUGUUCAGGAUGGAUCAGGUGGUCAACUCAUUCAAUGAGAAACCUUUACUUUGCCUAUUGCGAAAGGGUAAGGAAUGGUCUCCGGAUCAGCCAGCGUGAUCUCAGCAAUGUGGUGUGAACCCCUUAAAUUCCCAUUAUAGAUAGAUUGCCAGUUGUCCGGAUGGCCCAAUCCAAUUGAAACCACUAAAAAACAUCAAAAUGUAGUGUGAUGUGCUAAAUGGUUUAUGCCAACAGGUAACUACCAAAAGAACUGGUAGUAAAUGUUUACUCUGAUUGUAAUCAUUCCACAACAAAUUAAAAUGUAUUUUUUUGGUUAAAGUUCCUAUUCAAUUUAAUGUAAAUUAAUACAAUUUAUUCAGGUCUUGGAGUCUUUAUAAUAAGCUGAUGACCUGGAUUUGAUUAGGGAGACAUUUAAAAUGUGCAGUGUUGAAGAGACUCCAAAAACAUGGUUUAGAACCAGACUAGUACAUGAUUUAGAUCACUGCUUCCCAGACAUGUUCUUGGAGUAACCCCAACAGUACACAUUUUGGAUGUGUUCCUUAUCUGACACACAUUUCAGUUAUUGGAGCCUUUGCUAAUGAGCUGGUGAGUUGAAUCAGGUGUGUUAGAUUAGGGAAAGUUCCAAAAUUUCCAGCGUUGGGAAUCAUGGUUCCCUGUCGUGAAUUAGUAUAUUGUGAAAAUAUUCAGCCAAUAGCGAGAGUCUUGGUCCACUAAACAUUAGAAUGUGCUGACUCAAUCGCCUGGUAACGAUUAAACGUACAUGAAAAUAUCGCUCAUUUUAUUCAUCAACAAAAUCACUGUAUAAUGCAUCAGAACUGAUAUCCUACUGGUAUCAUUUUUGUUUAGCGCAUGUACAGUGAUGUCAUGAAAUUUACUUAGCCUUCAUUUCUGUCUGCUUUAGAGACUGAAGAAAACAUCAACAUUACCGGAAAGGGUAUUAUGUACUAGAAAUUCUAGAAAGCAAUAAUUUCAUUAUACUGGAGCGAUUUUGACAAUUGGACCGGUUUUGAAAUGCCUGACUCACUGGCAAUUGCAUUGACUACUAAACUAGCUAGCUAACUGAGAUGUUAAAAUUAAUAAUUUGACUGUCCUGAAGGAAGUGCUUUUAAGGUAGCAAAAUUAUGUUUUUGUUUUUGAGAAUAGAUGGGUUGUUUUAACACUUAUGGUCUGGGAUUUGGAAGCAAACCAAACCAGAAUGUUUGAGGAAUUUAAAUACCUUCCUGCCUGCAAGCACUGUAAUGGAGGUGGAUAACUUCAUUGGGUUGAGUAAAUUCAGAAUAGUGGUGCAGGAAGGAAAAAAAGGUAAAAAACUGUUGGUUAGGCAGCAGUUGGGAUGGGCUAUGUGCUGUGGAGCCAUCCUCCAUCUGUCAACACAGGGAGUUGUGAUUCUUGCAUCAGCAGAGCAGGGCUCAGCAUCAAGAGAAAAGGGGUGAGGAGGGAGGGAAAGUGAGAGAGAGAGAUUUUAACAACAGCUAAAUUCUCAUCAGGCAUGUAGACUGAACGUCCCCUCUUCGAAGCACAAAACACCAGUGAGCAGCAUCUGCUCUGUGGCUUUGUUGCCUCUUAAAAAGUGCACAGCGCCAGCCCUGGAGAAAUCGUUGUCCAUCUUCAGUUUGUAAACAUUUGUUUUGUGGUUCAGCCGUCACAUAUGGUUCAUAAAUGGACAUGGUUACUGUGUAAUUGUCUGUAUCCCACCACCAUAGUUUUUUUUAAACAUUAUGAAUGAGACAUGUUCAUGAUUAUUCUAGAUUAUAUUGGCUGGGGUAUUUUUUACAUUUGAUUGUUGUUGCAACAUAAUGGAUUUGGCCAAAGUGGUCAACAGCAACUGAGCCUGGGAAAUGUAGUAGUGCCACUUUUUCUCUUACACCGAUAGCUCAUUUAAAGAAAUCAAAAUGCUUUCCAUUCUUCAGUCAGCCAUGUUUCUGAAUCAGUGGACAGAGUUGCGAUGU